rnacentral:rRNA from 1 species
GAUGAACGCUGGCGGCGUGCCUAGUACAUGCAAGUCGAGCGAACGGACGAGAAGCUUGCUUCUCUGAUGUUAGCGGCGGACGGGUGAGUAACACGUGGAUAACCUACCUAUAAGACUGGGAUAACUUCGGGAAACCGGAGCUAAUACCGGAUAAUAUUUUGAACCGCAUGGUUCAAAAGUGAAAGACGGUCUUGUUGUCACUUAUAGAUGGAUCCGCGCUGCAUUAGCUAGUUGGUAAGGUAACGGCUUACCAAGGCAACGAUGCAUAGCCGACCUGAGAGGGUGAUCGGCCACACUGGAACUGAGACACGGUCCAGACUCCUACGGGAGGCAGCAGUAGGGAAUCUUCCGCAAUGGGCGAAAGCCUGACGGAGCAACGCCGCGUGAGUGAUGAAGGUCCUCGGAUCGUAAAACUCUGUUAUUAGGGAAGAACAUAUGUGUAAGUAACUGUGCACAUCUUGACGGUACCUAAUCAGAAAGCCACGGCUAACUACGUG